rnacentral:lncRNA from 1 species
CCCAGGAGGUGGAGGUUGCACUGAUCCGAGAUUACACCAUUGCACUCCAGCCUGGGCAACAUGAGUGAAACUCCGUCUCAAAAAAAAAAAAAAAAAAAAGACAAGCAUCCAAGGACAUUUGCCGGGUAGAGAAGCAGCUAGGAUUAGAGAAACAGAGAUGUAGAAGCCCUUUCAGGGUCAGAACGAGAUAAACGUGGGCUGCAGGCCACGUGAGUGAGCACCCACGGUGCUGUUGAAUUUAGAGGUGGGCUACAACAGACCCGAGGCCCCCAGGAAGGCUUCACAGAGACAACCCCUUGAGGUGAGCCUUGAAGGCAAGAUGUAAGACAUGAAUGGUGGCCUCGCAGAAGCGGAUAUUCCCUCGAGGGGGUGAGAAACAGGCAACACCACAGAGGUGGGAAGGCAGCUGGCGCAUUUGGGAAUUGCCAGAUCGUUCUAGCUGCUACGGAACACGUGCAUAGGGUACCCACCAGGCAGGGCUUUCACCAGAGAAACAGAACCAGUAGGAGAUGGAGCUAUGUGGCAAGAGAUUUACUGCAAAGAAUUGGCUUAUGUGAUUGUAGGGGCUGGCUAGGAAAAUUCUAAAUCCUUGGGGCAGGCCAUUAGGAAGGGCAGACUCGAAACUCAGCCAGGACCUGAAGCAGCCGUUCACAGGGGGAAUUUCUUCUUUGGGGAAGCCUCAGCCUUGUUCUUAUAGUCAUUUAACUGAUUGAAUCAGGCCCACCCAGGACAUCUCAAAUCAUUAACUUAAAGUCAACUUUUUAUUAUUUUUUUUUAGACAAGGUCUUGCC